UUCUAAAGUUAUGAGUUUAUUUUUUUAACCAAUUAUAGGGCAUUCAAAUGACAUCAGCUGAGUUGAGGUGACCUGUGCUCUGAGUUUGUUAGCCUUCCACCACUGUGACAAGUGAGGGGACAGUUUUAAGGAAAAUUUAUUGGGGUUCACAUUUCUGAUGCUUCAGUUAAUUGUGGGGAGCAGGGUGACUGGGAAGUGAGCCCCAGAGCCUAUACUGGUCUGGCUUCCUCCUUGGCCUCCAUUUAUUCUAUCUGGUCAACUUGGCCUUAGGACGGUGGUGUACACACUUGGGGCAUGCCUCUCCCUCUUAUUGCCCUGUGAGAAGCUCACACAGACACACCCAGUAACCUCAGGGAUGCUUCUCAGUCCAAUCAAACUGAAGAGCAUUAACCACCACAAAUCCACCCCUUGUCAACUUGAUACCCAAACACAUGUCCUUAAACCAUCACAUUCUGCCCCUAGGCUUCAGAAGGCUCACGUACAUCUUAUAAUGCAAAGCACAAUUUAGUACAUCUCCAAGACUCCCCGCUAGCUUAACAGAUCCAAUGUUUCUCAAAAGCUCGAGUCAAGGCCUCUUCUGGGAUUCUAGGCAAGCUCUUAAGAAUGUAUUUUGUUAUGCUCACCAUCAGAAGCGUCACCUCCACCAUCCUUUGCCAGCUCCCACUCCCUUACACUCAGGCCCUGCUGUAAAGGAUCUUCUGGGGAAGGCUGAGCCUGGGCUGGACCUGGAGCCCUAAGGCCUGGGUAUCCUGGCAGUGUCUGCCAGGUUUCCCAUGUACUCUGCCCACUUCCUCUUGGAGAAUCAGGCCUACCUGUGUGUCUUGGGUGCUUUUGACCUUGUCCCAUUUCCCCAUCUCGGUGACAACCGCCACGUGUUGAGUGUUGUGCCUGAAGCCACUGACCCUCUCACAUCUCUCCCUGAGGCAAGAAACAUCCUCAGACAAGCUGCCUGCUUGGGUGAAGAUUUGGGAUGGAAGAGAACCAGAGAGCGUCAGUACCUCUUUCUACCAGGUGGGGGAGCCAGCCUACAGGCUAGAUAGCCGCUGGAGGCAAGCUCACCAGUUUCUGAGGCAAACCAUGGGGCAAGAACAAGGGGAUCGGGCCUAGGGCUGAGAGAUAAGACUUUAGCAGAGGGUGUGGGUAUUCAUGAGCUCUGCUUCGAAAUGCAACAAGGAGGCAAGCUUGGGCCCUGCUUUUUUGGGAUAGCCAGGGUGACUAUGAAAGCAGGACUUUCCAAAUCAGCAGGACUCAGGGCUGGGCUACUCUGGGCCAGGCAUGGGGACUUUCUGUGACUCAGAUGUUCUAACACAAUGGAUACUAUGCAUGAGGACCGUAAAAACAAACAAACAAAACAGAAUAGACAAACAAACAAAAACCCAGCAGCUGUGGCUUCUCAUAGCCUGGAGAGGCAGGGGCAGCUCUUCAAACAGGACCCCAGCUACUUAAAUUUUGCAUAUAGUUUCCAAGCUACAGUGUGGGUACAACCAGGGAUUUCAUCUGAUAGGAUACAAGAUGCACAGGCUAACACAAUUUCACCUGUCAAAACACAGGCAUUUAGGAUGCAUCAUGGCGACUGGGUAUGGCUGAGUGCUAGAUCAUAUUGUAGCAUAUGUGAAGCCCCGGGUCCUGUACCCCCAACCCCCCUCCUCCCCAUCCUCACCUCCAUACAGAAAAAAUGGAAGGCAUGCAGUAUUUUCGGUAGCCGGUUGCCAUAGUUAGCUUCAGCUGGCAACUUGACACAAACCCUGAACCACCUGGAAAAAAUUGGAACUUCAGUUGAGGAAUUGCCUCCAUCACUUCGGUUUAUGAGCAGGAUGAGUUGAGCACCACAACAUGCCAGGUACCCCAGCAGCAUCUAAAGAUGAAGCAGAGGACCCAACAUACAUGCCGUACUGAUCCCGUGACGUCCGAGGCUCAGAGUACACUGACAAUGAAGUCACAAACAAAUGAGCAAGCAACAGAGCCACACUAUCACUGCUCAUAGACAAAGGGGUUCCGCAGGGUGACUGAGGAAGACAGAGAGCACUGUUCCCACGGUCUGGGGGCCUGGACUGACUAGAACGGGGAAGAGAAGGUGAGAUACAUCAUAGAAUGAUAGCAGUUUUCACAUACUCAUUGGAAAGGUUAAUAUUGUGAACUCAGGGUCUAGAAUCACCAGGAGGUAAGCCUCUGGGCACACCUGUGAGGGAUCAUCAAGAUUAGUCUAGCCUCUGGGCCAGCCUAUGAGGAUUAUCUAGAUCAGGUUAAUUGAGCUAAGAAGCCCAACCUUAGCUGUGGGUGGUGCCAUAAUAUGGAGUCCUGGGCUGGACGGAAAGUAGAAAGCCAGCAGAGCACCAGUAUUCACAUCUCUCUUUUCCUGACCUUCUCCCUGAAGUCCUCCCCUCUCUUGUGUGUGUACAUGCGUAUGCCCACAGCACAUAUAUGGAGGUCAGAGGACAAUCUCUGGUUUUGGUCCUCACCUUCCUGAGCAUGGGUCUCUUGGUUGUUGUUGGUUAUUAUUUAUUAUUAUUAUUUGUUAUUAUUAUUAUUUUGCUACCAUGCUUUGUAUACCAGGCUAGCUGGACCAUAGUGUGCUCACCAGGCUAGCUGGACCAUAGUGUACUCACCAGGCUAGCUGGACCAUAGUGUGCUCACCAGGCUAGCUGGACCAUGGUGUGCUCACCAGGCUAGCUGAACCAAAGUGUGUACACCAGGUUAGUGGGACCAUAGUGUUCAGGGACUCUCCCAUUUUGCUAGAAGGGCACUGCUUUAACUGAUUCUAGAGAUUCAAACUCAGGUGCUAUUUGCAUGGUGAAUGCUUUACCCUCUGAGCCAUUUCCCCAUCCCAGGACACAGCAUUUUAAAGGCAUGUCCAAAAAUAUCUUUAAAGCACGU